GUUAUCAUGUCUGCUUUACGCAGGAGGUCCCCGGUUCGAACCCGGGCCGAACCAG
rnacentral:tRNA from 1 species